GGAAAUCGCCAGGGGUGCUCGCGCCGGCUGCGCGGGCUGAGAACACACCCUCGGAACUUGGGCGGGUCAUGCCGCCCAAGAAGGCGACACACUUAAGAC
rnacentral:ncRNA from 1 species